GACGAACGCUGGCGGCGUGCUUAACACAUGCAAGUCGAACGAUGAAGCUAGAGCUUGCUCUGGUGAAUUAGUGGCGAACGGGUGAGUAACACGUGAGUAACCUGCCCCGAACUCUGGGAUAACUGCUGGAAACGGUAGCUAAUACUGGAUACGACCUACGAAGGCAUCUUCUGUAGGUCGAACGCAUUUCGGUUCGGGAUGGACUCGCGGCCUAUCAGCUUGUUGGUGAGGUAAUGGCUCACCAAGGCGACGACGGGUAGCCGGCCUAAGAGGGUGAGCGGCCACACUGGGACGGAGACACGGCCCAGACUCCUACGGGAGGCAGCAGUGGGGAAUAUUGCACAAUGGGCGCAAGCCUGAUGCAGCAACGCCGCGUGAGGGAUGACGGCCUUCGGGUUGUAAACCUCUUUUAGUAGGGAAGAAGCGAAAGUGACGGUACCUGCAGAAAAAGCACCGGCUAACUACGUGCCAGCCGCCGCAGUAA
rnacentral:rRNA from 1 species